rnacentral:lncRNA from 1 species
CUUUAAUGACCAGAGCUCGCUCAGGUUUCUGGGCUCUGUGGCGCUCUUGUCCAUGUGACAAAUGUAGCCCUAGAAUUUGAAUUUGCUUAUGUGAUAGCUUUGGCCAUUGUCUUGAAGUUCCUCACUCAGGAAAUACGGUAGAGGGUCAGCAUCCCAUGGAAUUUUAGUAAAAGUCAUCUUGUAUAACUUCAUACUCCUAUUCACUGGGGGGAGAAAAACUUU